UGGUCAGUUCCCAGCAUGACUGUAAGCGUAAUAUGCUCAAACUGUGACUUUGCUUUGGUGAAAAAUAUCCGAGGGCAGCAUCUGUGACAUGUGAGAACUCGUAUAAGGAUGGCAGCAGCUGUGCCACCGCACCAACUGCCUCGUCCGCUAUGUUGAUGCAGUCCGCCAGUGACAAGGACACGAUCCGAGGCGUCAAACAGGCCCACAGUCCAGCCUCGGUGACCUCAUUGCAGCCGGCGAGCUCAAGUUCAAAUAGACUCUGCAAUUGUCAUUUUAUUUACGAAAUUAUUCCUUUGUUAUAUAUCAUGUUUAUUGCUUUCAACUUAGAUUAUAAUUAAAAAUAAACAAAAAAGUG